rnacentral:lncRNA from 1 species
AAAUGGUUGUUAAGGUACAUUGUUGGUACAUUAAAUCUGGGUCUAGUGUAUGAAAAGAGAUCUGAAAAACUUACUCUAAAGGGGUAUGUAGACUCUGAUUUUGCUGGUGACAAGGAUAGCAGAAAGUCUACCACAGCGUACUUUUUUACACUAGGUGACAAUUGUAUAACAUGGAAGUCACAGCUGCAGCCUUUAGUUACUUUGUCAAGUACUGAGGCAGAAUAUGUUGCCAUAACUGAGGCGGCUAAAGAAUGUACUUGGUUAAAAGGAAUUUUAAAGGAAUUGAACUUCAUGCAUGAUACACCUGUUAUGUUUACUGAUAGUCAAAGUGCUUUAUUGCUUUGUAAAAAUCCUGUUUACCAUGAAAGAACUAAACAUAUUGAGGUAAAGUAUCAUUUUAUACGUGAGAAACUGUCUCAAGGUGAAGUUAAUCUUGUUAAAAUUCACACUGAUAGGAAUCCCUCUGAUAUGGGAACAAAAAUUCUAC